rnacentral:rRNA from 1 species
GACGAACGCUGGCGGCGUGCCUAAUACAUGCAAGUCGAACGCUGAAGCUUGGUGCUUGCCCCGAGCGGAUGAGUUGCGAACGGGUGAGUAACGCGUAGGUAACCUGCCUGGUAGCGGGGGAUAACUAUUGGAAACGAUAGCUAAUACCGCAUAAGAGUAGAUGUUGCAUGACAUUUGCUUAAAAGGUGCAAUUGCAUCACUACCAGAUGGACCUGCGUUGUAUUAGCUAGUUGGUGAGGUAACGGCUCACCAAGGCAACGAUACAUAGCCGACCUGAGAGGGUGAUCGGCCACACUGGGACUGAGACACGGCCCAGACUCCUACGGGAGGCAGCAGUAGGGAAUCUUCGGCAAUGGACGGAAGUCUGACCGAGCAACGCCGCGUGAGUGAAGAAGGUUUUCGGAUCGUAAAGCUCUGUUGUAAGAGAAGAACGAGUGUGAGAGUGGAAAGUUCACACUGUGACGGUAUCUUACCAGAAAGGGACGGCUAACUACGUG